UGCAAUGAUCAUGGCAUGAUUUAAUGGGAUACUUAGGCCUUUUGGCAAUGAGCCCCUUUAUCUACUUCCCCAGUCAGAUGAACUUGUAGAUACAUUUUCUAUGUCUCUGUGUCCAUCUAGUAUGAAGGAAGUUAGUGGUUGUUUCGCGAGCUGGAAGUCUAUGGGUAUCGACUAGCAUUGUAGUCAAUACCCAUGAGAGGUUGACUUGAAAGUAGUGGCAAAUGAGAGGUUAGCUUGAAAGUAUUGCCAACUGUCAUAUGUUAGCAGUGGCUAGUUAAUUGAAACCAAACUGUGGAUUACAGUCAGUUCAUAUUCACAUAUAGUAUUCAAGGGAAAAUGGGACAGCACAGCUCAAACGGAGAGACCAACAGCUACUUGUCUGGAAUGGAGGAAAAGAAAUGAUGGAAGCUUAAAGUCAUCAGGAACAGCAUUUAUUAGACAGGUUGUAAGGCUUUGGAGGAGUCGCCUGAGGAUGGGAGUUGACGGAAUACAACAUUACGUGAAUAUGUUGCUUCAUAGCAUCUUUUUCUUAGGUCACAUUCAUCAGGCCAGUCUUCUUCCAAAUGCCUUCUUUGAGUCUCGUGAGGGUAGGCUUGUGAUGUACGAUUUAGAAAGAAGAUUUCCACAGGCAUUCCACAAUUACAAGUAUCCACCCCACCAGACUCCAUUUUCCAAUCUUCUGACUUUGGCUGUCAGGAUUUGUCGAUGUGAAGAGGAAGAGGGAAUAAAAAGCUUUCUUCUACAUUUCCUGAAUGCAUUGGACUUGCCCCCCAGAAUAAAAGGCGAAAGUAAUUACACAAACUACUACACUCUGGAGGCCUCUACCAUAGCUUUGUGCUACAACGAAACCCCUGGACUCCGCAGACCAGUGAAGUACUAUGGAGCAUCCCUGUCCUGCAGAGGGGAGAGAGAAAAGAACAUUAUGAUCAAUUGGUCAUGUCUAAAUGUGUGGCAUGACUAUGUGUCUUAUGCAGUGUUGUCAUUCAGACAUGAUGAACAGGGAAACGGUAUCAGAUUCCCUGUCACCGUAAAAUGCAGAGCAUUCUACAGGAAUCCCCAGACCAAUUGUUAUGAAGACCGAAGGCCGUGCAAAAACUGUGGGGAUCUUUUCUCUCUCUCAAACCCUGAGAUGGACAAAAAUGACUUUCCCUACGGAAACUGUGCUGAGACAGAGUGCCUCAGUAACCUUCUAUUAGGUGAUCAUGAUGUCUGCAGCAAUAUGAGUUUUGGACACUACACAAGAGAAAAGGUCAUAGAGAAACUAUACAAGACAAAUGGUCUCAGAAAUAUGGCAGAAAACGCUUUGGAACAUUUAGGUUUCGUUUCACACGGGCAUGAUUUGCCUAGAUAAAUAAAGGUUAAAUAAAAUAAAAUGUGUUUUGUGUCACAGUGGAAACUGUUUCCACAUUUCUGAUGUGACAGGAAACUACAGAAAGGGUGUGACACUGAACUUGUUUGAAUGCAGACCAUUCAGAGAAACCAUAGCUAAAACAAUGGGCAAAUACAGACAGCAUGAUGAUAGAGCUACAAUGAUGUUACUUUAUGAGACAAAUGUAUCUUGUAAAUAUCUUGUAUCCAUCAAUAAAUGAGAAUUCUUAAAAGUU